UGUGGAUUAGUGUAAUAGUAACACCUUUGGCUCAUAACCAGAUAAUCUGGGUGCAAAUCCUAGGUCCACAU